ACAUAAACCAGCAACGCAGACACACACAACGUCUGCAUGAAAAGAUCAGAAAAGACAGUCAUACAUCAGGGCUCUCAUGGCUCAGUCUGACACACGUCACAGCUUUGUGCCAGAUACUUCCAGUAAACUCCAAGAAAAGGUCUGCACUGCAUCCUCUAUUAAAUCCAGAAUAGCUGUCCUGGAGGUGAAUCUGCCAAGUGCUGCAAACACAAUCAGCAGCUCCCACACUCCUAAGCCUAACAGAAGAUGCACUGACUCCUCUGGACCUGCUUUUCAUCUCAAAAAUGUAGCAGUGAAGUCUGCAGUGAAAGCAAAUCCUGAUAUUUCCAGCAACUCCAGUGUCUUCCCUGCUUCAGCCAAGCCACCAUGGAAUAAUAACAAUAGACACAAGCCUAUUAGAGCUUUGCAAGCAGAAAUCCAGAAGUUCAACGUGCCAUCCCAGAGCACCAGACCAUCUCUGCUGCAGAAAAACAGUAUUAGCAAACAGCAAAGUUUUACCGACAGUGAUGGUAGGGUGGAGAACAUCAUCUGCACUAAACCCCCUCAACUCCCCAAAUACCUUAAAACCAAUGACUGCAGAACCCAAAAUCAACUUCAAAGAGAGAGCGCUGAGCCCUCUGUUCCUAUGACAAGGUUCCCUAAUGUGUUUGCUGUGGGAAGCCCUCCUCCAAAGCCUGACAGGCCUCCCAGUGUUGACAUCCAAAGAUUUAGGAGGAAUAUGAAAUCUCUGACUGAUGGAUCAUGGAUGAAGAUACUACAUUGUGCUAAACCUGCCCCUGCACCUCAACGUCUGCGACCACCAUCCAACCAGGCUGCUGUUUUGAUGGAACCAGCAGAGAGGUCUGACAAACAUAAAAAAAGUGAAGUCACAGAGGGGAAACAGGCAGAUCCAAAAGGAACCAUCAACUCAGAGGAAAUGAAAAGUCAUGCUCCGAGAGAGGACAAAACACAUCUGAAACAACAGAAAGCCAAAGAGGAGGUGCACCAAGAAAUACAGAAGAUAUUCCAGAUUAAAGGACCUGCUCAUAUAAUCAAGAAGGGGAAGGCACUUUUUGAUUUUAAAAGAGUAAAAUCAGAUGUUACUCUGAGUCAAGGAGGACGUGUCCACAGUACAGUUGUCUCUAUGAAGUCAGAGUCUUUUGAUACAGACCAUGAUGUUUCAAACAAGGACGAGGAGCCAAUGUCUAUGUCCAACCAGAGUGAUUCAGAGAUUUACGAUGACAUUGGGGCACCAGAUGAUAGUGGCGCAAACGUGCAAAAUGUUGGGGAGGAUGACAUUUAUUAUGAUGUGGAUAAUCCAGAGACAAGAGUUUCUCUUUUGCCACAGUCAACCGUAGAUGAAGAUGACGUGUAUGAUGAUAUUGCUUCCCAAAGUCCUCAACUGCCUUUUGAUGGGUAAUAAUGUUGAUGUGAUAAAUACACAUUGUGACUCAGUGCUUGAGAUUUAUGGCAACAUCAAUGAAGACUGUGUCUAUGAAAUCAACUAAUCUACAAUAAUGACAGUGCCAGCACAGAUCUUCAUUACCUGUAUUGAUCAUUUACAGUUUAAAUUAUUGUGCAUUUUCACAAAGCAAAGCUUGUAGGAAUUAAUCCAAAAAUGUUCUACAUUAUCUAUGAUUAAAACAUGAAACGUUUUGGUGAAUAUCAUGUUGCAACCUGUUGUAGCAACUGUGCUGUGCUUUGAACUGUUACCAGUGCAAUGGUGACAUGGACUGACAAAUAUGGACAAAUCCUGUUUAUUUUCAGUAGGCUAAGUGUGUUGGCUGGUACAUUAUUUUGUUGGAGAAAAAAGCAUAAUCAUCAGCAUUUAUUAAAGCAACUUGUCUGUAUAUUAAACAGAUUGAUCAAUA